rnacentral:rRNA from 1 species
AUAUUGGACACUGGGCGCAAGCCUGAUCCAGCCAUGCCGCGUGAGUGAUGAAGGCCCUAGGGUUGUAAAGCUCUUUCGCCAGGGACGAUAAUGACGGUACCUGGAUAAGAAGCCCCGGCUAACUUCGUGCGAGCAGCCGCGGUAAUACGAAGGGGGCUAGCGUUGUUCGGAAUUACUGGGCGUAAAGCGCAUGUAGGCGGAUAGUUAAGUCGGGGGUGAAAGCCCGAGGCUCAACCUCGGAACUGCCUUCGAUACUGACUAUCUUGAGUCCGGGAGAGGUGAGUGGAACUCCGAGUGUAGAGGUGAAAUUCGUAGAUAUUCGGAAGAACACCAGUGGCGAAGGCGGCUCACUGGCCCGGUACUGACGCUGAGAUGCGAAAGCGUGGGGAGCAAAC